rnacentral:rRNA from 1 species
AUUGAACGCUGGCGGCAGGCCUAACACAUGCAAGUCGAGCGAGCGGCGGACGGGUGAGUAAUGUCUGGGAAACUGCCUGUUGGAGGGGGAUAACUACUGGAAAAGGUAGCUAAUACCGCAUACCAUCAGAUGUGCCCAGAUGGGAUUAGCUAGUAGGUGGGGUAAAGGCUCACCUAGGCGACGAUCCCUAGCUGGUCUGAGAGGAUGACCCGCCACACUGGAACUGAGACACGGUCCAGACUCCUACGGGAGGCAGCAGUGGGGAAUAUUGCACAAUGGGCGCAAGCCGGAUGCAGCCAUGCCGCGUGGAUGAAGAAGGCCUUCGGGUUGUAAAGCACUUUCAGCGGGGAGGCGUUACCCGCAGAAGAAGCACCGGCUAACUCCGUGCCAGCAGCCGCGGUAAUUC